rnacentral:sRNA from 1 species
UAAAUGUCGCUUCAUAAGCAAGAUGUCGC